rnacentral:rRNA from 1 species
AGGCCUAACACAUGCAAGUCGAACGGGCAGCACAGGAGAGCUUGCUCUCUGGGUGGCGAGUGGCGGACGGGUGAGGAAUACAUCGGAAUCUACCUUUUCGUGGGGGAUAACGUAGGGAAACUUACGCUAAUACCGCAUACGACCUACGGGUGAAAGUGGGGGACCGCAAGGCCUCACGCAAUUAGAUGAGCCGAUGUCCGAUUAGCUAGUUGGCGGGGUAAUGGCCCACCAAGGCGACGAUCGGUAGCUGGUCUGAGAGGAUGAUCAGCCACACUGGAACUGAGACACGGUCCAGACUCCUACGGGAGGCAGCAGUGGGGAAUAUUGGACAAUGGGCGCAAGCCUGAUCCAGCCAUACCGCGUGGGUGAAGAAGGCCUUCGGGUUGUAAAGCCCUUUUGUUGGGAAAGAAAUCCUAUCGGUUAAUAACCGGUGGGGAUGACGGUACCCAAAGAAUAAGCACCGGCUAACUUCGUGCCAGCAGCCGCGGUAAUACGAAGGGUGCAAGCGUUACUCGGAAUUACUGGGCGUAAAGCGUGCGUAGGUGGUGGUUUAAGUCUGCUGUGAAAGCCCUGGGCUCAACCUGGGAAUUGCAGUGGAUACUGGAUCACUAGAGUGUGGUAGAGGGAUGCGGAAUUUCUGGUGUAGCAGUGAAAUGCGUAGAGAUCAGAAGGAACAUCCGUGGCGAAGCGGCAUCCUGGGGCAACACUGACACUGA